rnacentral:misc_RNA from 1 species
UCCGAGCUGACCCCGGCAGUCUCCUAUGAGUCCCCGGCAUUACCCGCUGGCAACAUAGAACGAGGGUUGCGCUCGUUGCGGGACUUAACCCAACAUCUCACGACACGAGCUGACGACAGCCAUGCACCACCUGCGUGCGGCCCUUACGGACCCGGUAUCUCUACCGGUUUUCCGCACAUGUCAAACCCAGGUAAGGUUCUUCGCGUUGCAUCGAAUUAAUCCGCAUGCUCCGCCGCUUGUGCGGGCCCCCGUCAAUUCCUUUGAGUUUCACCGUUGCCGGCGUACUCCCCAGGUGGCGAACUUAACGCCUUCGCUAAGCCGCUGAUGACAAAUCACCAACAGCGAGUUCGCAUCGUUUACAGCGUGGACUAC